UUCUCCUUCUUAAUCUGGAGAUAGGAAAGGUACAAAGAGAAGUGAAACAAAUAAGAUAAAUAUAAUUACAGUUAUAUUCCUCAAAAGAAAUACAGACUGUGGAUUCUUGUAAUAUUUACUAGAUGUAGACUGUGGCUCUGCCUCAUUCUAUCUUCACUUCUGGUGACAAGGCUAACGGCGAAGUUUCCUACCGGAAGUACAGGAAGUACUGCUGGCAAAGAGAAGUUUCCUACCGGAAGUACCGGAAGUACUGUUGACAAGGCUAAUGGAGAAGUUUCCUACCGGAAGUACCGGAAGUACUGUUGGCAAAGAGAAGAGAAAACAUUAGUAAACCAUGUGCUAGUUGUUGAAGCUUCUCCUCGGAUUGGAUGUUUCUCCCUUCAUCCUCCAUAUAAUAAAAGAAAAGAUGCUGCUGAUUUUGCCCCAUAUAUACAUGCUGGAUAUCUAGAUGAAUAACUACCCGAGGACAUUCCUUUCACCAUCCUCUCAGGAGAUCAAGGUUUUCUGGCUCUAGAGAAUCAAUUUAAGAAGACUCAGCAGCCAGCUCAUAUACUAAACCCUCACUACUUAGAGGGAGAUACGAUGUGUGCCUUGUUAAAUAGCACAUCCGAUAGCACCAAAGAUACGCAGCUGCGGUCCCAGAUCAAAUCGUCCGAGAAGACUUCACUGAUGAGAGACCAGUAAAAUCCAACUGGGCCUGCAAGGAGUUCUGACCUGAGAUGUAGACAAAGUCAAGUUCCUUCUGACUGUCCCUGAAAAUAAGCCUUCCUCUUCAGCUUUCCAAGUAUUAAUGCACUUACGUUGUUUCUACAGCUACAUGUUUAAGUUGGGCUUUCAACAUGUGCAACUUGAA
rnacentral:lncRNA from 1 species